UUCGGUCAAUCAGAUAGUGGCGGACGGCUGAGUAACGCGUGGGAACAUACCCCAAAGUGAGGAAUAACUGCCCGAAAGGGUAGCUAAUGCCGCAUAUGGUCUUCGGAUUAAAGGAUUUAUCCGCUUUGGGAAUGGCCUGCGUACGAUUAGAUUGUUGGUGGGGUAAUGGCCUACCAAGCCGACGAUCCAUAGCUGGUUUGAGAGGAUGAUCAGCCACACUGGGACUGAGACACGGCCCAGACUCC
rnacentral:rRNA from 1 species